rnacentral:rRNA from 1 species
ACGGGGCGCAGCAGGCGCGAAACCUCCGCAAUGUGAGAAAUCGCGACGGGGGGAUCCCAAGUGCCAUUCUUAACGGGAUGGCUUUUCUUAAGUGUAAAAAGCUUUUGGAAUAAGAGCUGGGCAAGACCGGUGCCAGCCGCCGCGGUAAU